AGAACUUCCAUGCCACCUGGUGGAGGUAUCACGAUUUACGUAUAGCUUUCGACAGUUAGAACACCAUUUAUCAGUUAAGGGGGAAAAAAAAAGAGAAUACGAUGGUGUUAUUAUCAAUGUUUAGACGUCACUUUGUUUAUUAUUCGUAGAAAAUAGACACGGAAACACGGAUUUUAUUUCACUUUCACUGAAUAACACAAAGUAACGGAAAAGUUCGACGAGACGAAGGUACACACGUACUUACGAUCCACCGCACUAGAGACGUGCAAGAACCCCCCCCUGAAACACUCGGGACGCGAAUGCCGUAGUUCAAACGGGCCCAUGUCUCUCUACCCGGGUCCUACGGCGAGUCAGGAGUGUUGCUAUAUUGAUCGAUGCCCUGUGCUUUCUUAAAUAUUUAGAUUUUUCGAUUUUAUCACGAUCGUAUACGAUAAUAUAUUCAAACAAUUCUCGUUGCAACGAAUCAAAAUUUUAAACUCAAGAGAUAAAAUAUACGAUUUUUAUCCUCUUACAGUUUCCUCUUACAUACGAUUUUAAAUUUUAUUAAACUGAUCAUCGCUAUAAUUCCCUCGUCAAAAGGAUGUUUUUCAUUUAAUAAUCACAAUAAAUCUUCGUCCAUCCAUAGGAACAAACUUUCUUGUCCAGUGGCUCCAUACGAGAUCGUCGUCCCUGUUUUCCAUCCAUUUAGGCACGAAGCACGAGUCAACUCUGCCCCCACCCUUCGCCGUGAAACCGUAAAUGCUCCACUCGGACCCGGUAUACCUUUUCCCUACUCCACCAUCGCGAUCCAGGGCCAUGCCGAGUGCCCUGAGCGCCUGCGUGCAUCUUUCCAUCCGGCAACCUCAAGUUUGCACCGCGAGAAACCGGUUUCUCGCGCAAUUAUGCGACUCGAACUGGAGAUACCGGCUACCAUCGGGCGAAGCUUCGAUGAAUUACGAAUACGCCGUGCAACGCGUACACAGAGUUUUAAUUUAUCGAAAUCUCGAGCUACGUCGAGCGCGGUGAAGACGAAGAUAAAGACGAUCGAGAAGAUUGAAGAAUCGUAGGGGUCAGCACGAAUCUAGAUCCGGGUCUGGUGCUCGAAGUUUACGGUGAAAGGCUCGAACAUGGCUUAACCCCUGGUCACCUCGCUUCCUCCCUGUUUACGAUUAAACCGACCGAAUUAUAAAUAAUCCAGAGAAAGAGAGAGAAGAAUUGAGCCCGGGAAACAAAAGAGGAGGGAUCAAAUCGAAUUCGCCCCGUUUAUUUGCACGGGGUGCAGUGCGAAAACGCCCCGUCGACGAAAAUAACGUUCGAACAGCCUUGAUCCAGCUACGAAUGGCUGCUGGCUAGCGCGACUAUUUUCGUCGACCUUUUCACGUGCGUACACGCUCGUUCCACGAUUACGGGGCUGCAUGUCGUGUCGUCGAGGGCACGAUAUGCACAGGUGCAUGCACCGAGAAAGGAACAGCGCAGGGAGGGUGAAGGGGGGACGGAGGAGGAAGAUGUGGAAGGAAGGAAGGAAGGAAGAGCGCUUGGUGGAUGGUGAAUUCGAGGAAGGGUGACUUUCAGUGGCUACCGUUUUUCCUUUUUCUAGUCGUGUGGAUUAGAGAUAGAGGGAGGAGAGGAGGAGGUGGAAGCCAAGGCGUGGAUGAGCAGGGAAGAGACGUGUAUGAGUGUAAUCCACCUGAUGGUAUGUAAUAAGAAGAAAUAUAUUCUCGGUAUGCCAGAAUGUGGAACGAUAAGUGUUUGAAACAUUUUAUCAACCGUGAUGGUUUUUUUUGCCAAUAAGGAAGAAAUGAAAGAAAAUGUUGGUUUUCUUUUUUUUUUAUUUAUUUAUCUUUUGAAGGAUCUUCUUGUCAAAAGAAGAAAUAACAAGGUUUUCUUUUAAACUCUUAAAACUAUAUAUUUUAUUUGGAGAAUAAUGGACGAGACGAAAAUGUGCAUUUUAAUUGUAAUUUUAGAGAGAAUGGGAGAGAGUUUCAAUUGGAAAGUUUUUAUACUACAUUACACGGAAUGGUUAAAGAUAGA